AGACCCGAAACCCGGUGAUCUAGCCAUGGGCAGGUUGAAGGUUGGGUAACACUAACUGGAGGACCGAACCGACUAAUGUUGAAAAAUUAGCGGAUGACCUGUGGCUGGGGGUGAAAGGCCAAUCAAACCGGGAGAUAGCUGGUUCUCCCCGAAAGCUAUUUAGGUAGCGCCUCGUGAAUUCAUCUCCGGGGGUAGAGCACUGUUUCGGCUAGGGGGCCAUCCCGGCUUACCAACCCGAUGCAAACUGCGAAUACCGGAGAAUGUUAUCACGGGAGACACACGGCGGGUGCUAACGUCCGUCGUGAAGAGGGAAACAACCCAGACCGCCAGCUAAGGUCCCAAAGUCAUGGUUAAGUGGGAAACGAUGUGGGAAGGCCCAGACAGCCAGGAUGUUGGCUUAGAAGCAGCCAUCAUUUAAAGAAAGCGUAAUAGCUCACUGGUCGAGUCGGCCUGCGCGGAAGAUGUAACGGGGCUAAACCAUGCACCGAAGCUGCGGCAGCGACGCUGAUGCGUUGUUGGGUAGGGGAGCGUUCUGUAAGCCUGCGAAGGUGUGUCGUGAGGCAUGCUGGAGGUAUCAGAAGUGCGAAUGCUGACAUAAGUAACGAUAAAGCGGGUGAAAAGCCCGCUCGCCGGAAGACCAAGGGUUCCUGUCCAACGUUAAUCGGGGCAGGGUGAGUCGACCCCUAAGGCGAGGCCGAAAGGCGUAGUCGAUGGGAAACGGGUUAAUAUUCCCGUACUUGGUGUUACUGCGAAGGGGGGACGGAGAAGGCUAUGUUGGCCGGGCGACGGUUGUCCCGGUUUAAGCGUGUAGGUGUGUGUUCCAGGUAAAUCCGGUUCACUUUAACACUGAGGCGUGAUGACGAGGCACUACGGUGCUGAAGCAACAAAUGCCCUGCUUCCAGGAAAAGCCUCUAAGCAUCAGGUAACAUCAAAUCGUACCCCAAACCGACACAGGUGGUCAGGUAGAGAAUACCAAGGCGCUUGAGAGAACUCGGGUGAAGGAACUAGGCAAAAUGGUGCCGUAACUUCGGGAGAAGGCACGCUGACACGUAGGUGAAGUGAUUUACUCAUGGAGCUGAAGUCAGUCGAAGAUACCAGCUGGCUGCAACUGUUUAUUAAAAACACAGCACUGUGCAAACACGAAAGUGGACGUAUACGGUGUGACGCCUGCCCGGUGCCGGAAGGUUAAUUGAUGGGGUCAGCGCAAGCGAAGCUCCUGAUCGAAGCCCCGGUAAACGGCGGCCGUAACUAUAACGGUCCUAAGGUAGCGAAAUUCCUUGUCGGGUAAGUUCCGACCUGCACGAAUGGCGUAAU
rnacentral:rRNA from 2 species